GCCUAGUUAGCUUAGUUGGUAGUGCGUCUGCCUUAGCGCUAGGCCGCGGGUUCGAUUCCCGCCCGGGGCG
rnacentral:tRNA from 1 species